CAAUAGCGUAUAUUAAAGUUGUUGCAGUUAAAAAGCUCGUAGUUGAAUUUCUGGCGGGCGCGCCGGUCUUCCAAGUGUUGUACUGGGCGCAGUCCGCCAUCCUUGUGGAGAGGGCUCGCAUUGAGUUGCGUGUCGGAUCUGCAUCAUUUACUGUGAAAAAGUUAGAGUGUUUAAAGCAGGCUGUCGCUUGAAUACAUUAGCAUGGAAUAAUAAGAUAGGACUUCGGUCUAUUUUGUUGGUUGCGAACCGAGGUAAUGAUUAAUAGGGAUAGUUGGGGGUAUUCAUAUUUAAUUGUCAGAGGUGAAAUUCUUGGAUUUAUGAAAGAUGAACAACUGCGAAAGCAUUUACCAAGGAUGUUUUCAUUAA
rnacentral:rRNA from 1 species